CCUACGGGUGACAGCAGUGGGGAAUAUUGGACAAUGGGGGGAACCCUGAUCCAGCGACGCCGCGUGAGUGAAGAAGUAUUUCGGUAUGUAAAGCUCUAUCAGCAGGGAAGAAAAUGACGGUACCUGACUAAGAAGCCCCGGCUAACUACGUGCCAGCAGCCGCGGUAAUACGUAGGGGGCAAGCGUUAUCCGGAUUUACUGGGUGUAAAGGGAGCGUAGACGGCAGCACAAGUCUGGAGUGAAAUGCCGGGGCUUAACCCCGGAACUGCUUUGGAAACUGUGCAGCUAGAGUGCAGGAGAGGUAAGUGGAAUUCCUAGUGUAGCGGUGAAAUGCGUAGAUAUUAGGAGGAACACCAGUGGCGAAGGCGGCUUACUGGACUGUAACUGACGUUGAGGCUCGAAAGCGUGGGGAGCAAACAGGAUUAGAUACCCCGGUAGUC
rnacentral:rRNA from 1 species